GCCGGAUAAAUUUUUUGUGAUGUACUUCAAGAGAUGGCAAUUAAAGGCCAUGUUCUGGUUGCAGACUCUGAAAGUAUUAUGGGUGACAGUCGGCAAACCUGAGGAAGAUUUAUCCAGGAAGCUCAGAAAAAAAUUUAGGAUGCCAAUGUUGCCUUUAGAGGAUGCAUUCUGAGUGUUCUUUCUGACCCUCAUUGUGAUGUGUAUAUGCACAUAGAAGACGGGAAGGAAUUGUGGGAUGCACUGGAUGCUAAAUUCGGUGCAACCGAUGCAGGCAGUGAACUGUAUACCAUGGAGUCGCUGAACGACUACAAGAUGGUGGAUAACCGUUCUAUAGUUGAACAGGCACAUGAGAUACAGAUCAUUGUGAGAGAGCUCAAACUUCUCAACUGUGAAUUGUCCGACAAGUACGUGGCUGGGUGCAUUAUUGCAAAGUUACCUCCUGCAUGAAGGAGCUUCGCCACGUCUCUGAAACACAAGAGACAGGAGAUAUCAGUUGAACAACUAAUAGCGUCUCUUGAUAUUGAAGAGAAGGCUCGGGCUAAGGACACAAAUGAGAGGGCUGCUGAAAUUCCGUCUAACGCCAAUAUGGUACAGAGGAACUUUUGCGGCAACGGAAAGAACAAAGGGAAGAAGUCUGUUGUUGUUAAUAACAACAAGCCUGCGCAGACUACUACCUUCAAGAAGAAGAAGAAAGUAAACAAAGGCGAGAUGAAUUGUUUCACCUGUGGAGAGCUUGGCCACAUUUCCAGAGACUGUUCUGAUCGUACAGAUCGGAAAGGGAAAAAGGGGCAGAAGACUGUCAAUGUCGUGACCGCUAGCAACACUGACACCAUGGAAGGGAUUCAACCGUCUUGAUGGGGAACGGGUCGCAUGCAGUUGUUCGUGGUGUUGGUACGGUCGAUCUGAAGUUUACUUCGGGGAAGAUCGUGCGGCUAAGAAACGUGAUGCAUGUCCCCUCCAUGAGAAAAAAUCUCGUUAGCGGUUUCCUUUUAUGCAGAGAUGGUUUUAAGCUAGUUUUAGAGUCUAAUAAAGUAGUUAUGUCCAAACAUGGAUAAUUUAUUGGUAAAGGCUAUGAGUGUGGAGGCUUGUUUCGGUUUUCCCUUUCUGAUUUUAGUGACAUGUCAGUGAAUCAUAUUUGUGGCAGUGUUAAUGAUGAUGCAAGUGUUUGGCAC